GAAGGCAGAUUCUGACUCAGUAGGACUCUGAAAGGGAGCCCGAGGAGGUGCAUUUCUCACAAGCUCCCUGGUGAUGCCGCUGCCACUGUCACGCUCAGAGUGGGCAGGCUGCAGGUGCACAGCGCGGGCAUCGAUGCACAGUGUGGGGCGGUGUGUUAUCUGGGGCCAGGCCUCUGACGGGGAGGGGAGCCGAGUGGGGUCCAGGAAGAGCUGUGGCCAGCCUGGUAAGCUCAGCAACCCCGUCAUCAGAGGAGGGCGGAGGCCUCGGGGGUGGGGUGGGCAUGAGGUCGGGAGAGGUCUUCCCCUCUGAGAGAGAGUUUGGAGAGGAUUCUUUCCGUGAACUCUUAAUUUUCUCAUAAUUUAGAGCUGAUUGUUAUGAUUGCCUCAUGAGUCUUGGGCUUGUCUCUCAAAUUCUGCUGAAAGCUCUGUGAGAACAAGGGUCUGUCUCCUGUUCCUCUUCACCCCGGAGCUCCCAGAAUCCAGCUGGGCUUGUAAGAGGCACGCGGGCCACGUCUGCCUGGAGCCCCAGCCUUGGAGCUUGGUGGUCAGGUGGGGGGAGGAUGUGGGCUUUGGACUUGGGUGGCCCGGGCCGUGGUCCAGCUCAGCCAUGUACUGUCCCGCAGUGGGCGGGGGCACGUGCCCUUUCCCCCCGCAGGCUUCCCCAUCUGGAAAGAUAGGGAGGACAGAAGCCACUCGGAGAUUUAGCAGGAUUCGGCGAGACAAAGCAUGGAAAGGACCCAGCUCUUAGUGGGGCUUCAGUACCAGCUGCUCCCUUUCUGUCCUCCCCAUCCCCAUUAUGUGUCUCUCUUUUUUUUCAAAGAUUUUAUUUAUAUAUUUGAGAAAGAGAGAGUGGGGGAGGGGCAGAGGGAGAAGCAGACUCCCCCCUGAACAGGGAGCCCCAUGCUGAGCUCGAGCCCAGGACGCUGAGAUCACGAUCUGAGCUGAAAUCAGACGCUUAACCGACUGAGACCCCCAGGUGCCCCCAUCCCCAUGCUGUGUCUUCACCCGCACUCCCUCAAGCUGCAGCAUGCCUUCUUGGAAUCCUGGAGCCACUUCAAGCUCCGUGCUCAUCGCCCAGGGCUUCACCGUGCCAGCCGGCCCUACCUCCAGACCCAAGGAGAAGCCAGCAGGCAAGGGGACCAGAAGCCAGCAAGGCUCCAGAUGGGGAAUGCUCCAGAAGCGCAGAAGAAAGGUCUUCCAGCAGACCACAGCUGGCUGUCCGGCCCAGUGCCCUCCACAGAUCUGAGAGCAGCUUCAGAUCUCAAAAGUUUGUCCUUUUUCUUUGGCUUCAGAGCAUGUGGGAACUUGGUGGGAACAUGAGAGCCUUGGGCUGUGUGCUUCUCUUUUAGAUGCCUAGAGCCUACAUACAUGCACCUGGUGAAUGUCUGUAUGAGGGGUGCGUGUGUGUGUGUCUC
rnacentral:lncRNA from 12 species